ACAAUAGCUCAGUGUUGGGGCAUCUGCUUUGCAUGCAGAAGGGCCCCAGGUUCAAUCCCUGCUAUCACCA